AGUUGCUGAUGAACUUCUAAAAACUGCCAAUUGGUGUGUGGCUAGGCAGAAAGAGAGAAGUAUUUCUGCCUCCUAUUUUGGAAAGUCUGAGCCAAGUGCUAGGGUGAGCAAGUUCCCAGGACUCUAAUUUGAGGUAGAGAACUUGGAGAAUCCACACAGGGAGGCCCUCCAGAAGUCUUGUUUCCUUGGGCUUUUCUAGAAGCAAAACUUGGCUUGAGGCCCAGACUUUGGAGGGAGGACCUAGGACCAUGUGGCACAUAAGGGCAUGCUCUCUGGCCAGGCUGAGCUCUGGAAGGUUGCAGCUCAAGCCAGCCUGGCACCUUCUCUGGUGUUGAGGAUUGUAUAAUCUCCACUUACCAGGGCAUCAAUUCUAGAAUGGUCAUCUGAGAUUCCUAUUGGAUCAAAUGGAAAAUUAAAGCAAUAUCAAUGGUUAUCAUUAUGGCAACUGUGAGUGGGAGCCAUGAUAAGUCACCAGGGAGCUGUCACAUGGUAUAGAACACAUACAAAACAACCGUGCAGAGCAGCUCUCCACGAGUGGUAGGUGAAUAUGAUCCACCAGGUUUGCAUUGGACUACAAAGGUGAGAUUGCCUGGCCUGUGGCCAUGAGGCCGGCUGCACCUCAGGGUAAAGGUGCACUUGAGCUGGGAUUUGAAGGACCAGAGGAGUAGAAAGAUUAGAGUGGGAGGGACCAGCCAACAUGGAAGGAGAAUGGGAAUAAUUCCAGGAGUAAACAGCUGAAGUGGGUUGAUUAGACUCCAGUGCUUUCAGAUGUAUCAAUCUGUGCAUACCUUCACAACAUCCCUGGCAAGAGUGAGACAUAACUGCUGACUCCCUUGGCCCCAUCCAGAGCUCCUGGGCAGUCACUGCGGCCACAGUGCCAUCUCCCUACACCAGGACUCUUCUGUCUUCAGUCUUCUUAUGCCACAGACUUUCCAACUGAAUUCCUCUCUCAGAUCGAGUACUUCCCUUCAGUGUAGGUUAGGACGCUUCAGCUCUCAAGUUAGUCCAAGAACUAACCGAAACUCCGCCUUCCUUGCUAGUGAAAGGAAAUGGUCCCUGACUCAUGCAUUCAAAACCAACGGGCUGUGUAAUUUGGGGCAACUCCUCCUCUCCUCCAGAAAUGAUCAAGAAAGAAGCAAGGGGGUGUCAUUUGGGACCAUAAAACACAGUGGAACUUCCAAAUUGGAAAGAAUGAUCAAAAGACUUUUAAAGAUCCUAAAUUGGAUAAAAAUUGUUUUAUGAUGGCUGAAACUUGACUGCUUACAGAAAGAGAAGUGUUAUGAAAUUGCAAGAGAUCUGUUACGUUGCAGGUGGGGUGUUUGAUCAACAGUUGAAAUGUUAUGUAACAAAGAAAUUUCUUUCUUUUUUUUUUUCUUUUUUUAGUAAUUUGGAAAAGUAGAAUUGUGCUUUGUGCAGUGUGCUUUUAAAAUAAUUUGGAAAUGCAUUGGUUAAACCUAGGAGGAAGGAUCUGAUAACCCUGAUUAAAUAUUAAAGUAAUGCUGCAAAGAAAACUGCAAAGAAGACUACCUUCCCUUGUGAUCACAAAUUGACUGCUAGUGGCUUGCUGGACACCAUGUUUCUUCUCUUACCUCUGUCCCAGUCACAGAAUGACAGCCUGUCCCAUUUGUCUCCCCGUACCAAAGGGGUCACUUUUCCCAGUCCAAACCACUAGUAGUUGUAGGGGGUGUCAUGUGCCAAUUGGCUUGGACUGAAGUUUCUGACAUUACUACUGUAACGCUGAUGGAAUCACCAUAUUUGACUGAGACGAAUCAGGACCCCAUUCCUGUGGCUGGGAAUGGAAUUGUCAUCUCUUGUGUCUCACGAGUUGUGAGGGGAACAAAUGAAUCAUGGUGGAAGUUCGGGUUCUGAUGCCAAGGGAGAAGGCAGGGAUGGGUGCUGAGGGAAGAGCUUCUGUGAGGGGCAAGCUCCUCUUGCCCUUGCAGAGGUCAUGCUCAAGUACAGUCCCAACACACCCUAACUCCCUUCUUGUCUGUUUUCCUGGUUGUACAAAAAGCCAGACACAAGCAGGUGGCAGUGCCAGCUUCUGUUUCGGUGAAGAACUUGUGCGUCUUGGAGUGGGGCUGAGAAGGGAGAAGAGUUCAGUGAGGACUUCCGACCUGCAGAGCCAGGAGUCCUGGGGAAAGGAAGCAAGUGGUCAUGAGUUGUCAUCAGGAGAGAAUCCUCCUGUCUGUCCCAUCUCCCAACUUUACUUUUGGACUCCCCUAUUUGUGCAUUCCACUAAGAUAAAAUCAUAAAAUGAUGGAUUCAAAUGAAUUCAAAGCAUGCACUGUAUCUGAGAGGCAGCAGCCAGUCCUCCACUGUGUGGCUCCUGGUGGCACGGCUAAAGCUGACCCACAGAGGAUCACACAGGGGCUCUGACCCAAAAAGCCUGGAAUCCCGUCUUCCUUCUGAUUUUCUGUUCAUGGGUUUUUAUUCAGUUUCAGGUGGGGUUUCUGUUACUUGUUUGUUUGUUUUUAUUUGCCCAAAGCAUCCAAAUGGGGGCUGGGUGGCAGGCCUGAAGAGAACAGUGAGAAUCUGGGAAGGCCCUGGGGCUCUUCUUUCCACACCAUUCCUGCUAGCAGAAGUGCACAAAGACCACUCACCUUACACCUUACACCACAGAGAGCCCUUGGGUGGGGAGUUCGGCCCUUUAGCAAGCCCAGAUCCCUGUAGAGUGCUGACCAAGUGGGACUGCAACAGCAGGAGAACAGGAGUCCCAGCUGUGUUCUUGUGACCAAUCUUAAUCUCAGUUUCUGUUUCCUUCAUUUCUUCUUUUUUGUUAAAAUUUCACUUCUAUUUCUACUGACAUUAUUAUUCCCCCAUUAUUAGCAGCUGUUUGGGCAAUGAUAAAGUUCACCAUGGACUUCAAAUCAUCAAGAUUGGACUGCAAUGGAAUAAGAGGUGAAAUGGAACUUCUUGAGAGAUCGUAAACUCAGAACUAAGUCUUUUUUUAACCUGUGCUGUGCUGGGGAUUGAACCCACGGCCUCGUAAUUCACUGAGUUACGACCUCAGCUAAGUUUUUACUUUCAGAUACAAAAGAUGGCAUGACUUUGGGUCACCUUUCAUUGAAGAGGGGACAGGAGUGUUUACAAUUACAUGUGGAAACUCAUAAGCCCUGGGACAGGAAUGCUUCUGGAAAACCUCAGAAGGAUUUGUGAGGGCACAUGACUAGGCUGGUGUUGGAAUACAGGUGGUCCCUUUCUGCCCAGCGCCUGUCGUUUGGAGAAGAGUCUUCACCUACUUCAUGUAGCUCUUAGUCCAGGUCCUUCAAGAAGCAGAUGGCAAGAUGGGAUUAAUUUGUGUAAAGAAAUGUAUGUGGGGAAAUGCCUGUCAGAGAAAACGGGGAGGAAGCCAGGAGAGGCUGGGAGAGCAUCAGACUCAGUCUGGUGAAAGAAGAGGGGAAACAGGAAGGAAGAUGGGGUAGAACAGUCUUAGAAUAAAGAACAGUUCUGAAGUCUAUUCCAGGGAGUCUUGCUCAAGCUUCCCAAGAAGGGGCUUGCCUCGUACCCCUACUGGGGCGGUUAUUGACUGGGAGCUGCCUGAGAGGGAAUCUAGGCUCAGUGCUGUCCUCAGGUGGAUUUCAGAGCAGCCUCAGGCUCUCAAUCAUUUAGGUUCCCUGCCACUGGGGAUUCGAGAGGUGUAUCCCCAUCAGCUGAGCAGUCAGUUACAGGAGGGAGCACCCUGGCUCCCCGCCCACACAGGGGAAGGAGACUAAGUUGGGCCAGCACACACCUCUCAGGAAUUUGAACUUCCCUGGAGGAAACUCACAGAGGCCUUGAGGAGUCAGAGUCCCACAGUGGCACAGUCUCUGGGGGGAUACCCCAGCUGCCUUGAUUCCAUUUCAAGACUUUAUGGGUCAGACCUUUGAUAUGUGAAGUUUUCAGUAUAGUUCCAGUACCUGCAUACCUCUUUGUUUUAAAAUAUUUUAGAGUUUUUCUAUUGCUUGUAAAUUUCCAAGAACCCUAGUGGAGGUGGGGGAAAGGAGCUAGUUUUUAAAAAUAAAUAAAUGUUUUUAGAGAUAAACAACAACUACAACAAAAUAACCCAAUCAACAAAUGGGCCAAAGAUCUAAACAGACACUUCACAGAUGAAGAUAUACAAGUAAUCAACAAGUACACAGAAAAAUGCUCACCAUCGCUAGCUAUCAGAGAAAUGCAAAUUAAAACCACUCUAAGAUACCAUCUCACUCCAGUAAGAAUGGCAGCCAUUAUGAAGUCAAACAAUAACAAGUGCUGGCGAGGAUGUGGAGAAAAAGUUACACUCGUACAUUGCUGGUGGGACUGCAAACUGGUGCAGCCAAUUUGGAGAGCAGUAUGGAGAUUCCUUGGAAAGCUAGGAAUGGAACCAUCAUUUGACCCAGCUAUUCCCCUUCUCGGACUAUACCCAAAAGACCUAAAAAGAACAUACUACAUGUGUACAGCACAAUUCACAAUAGCUAGACUGUGGAACCAACCCAGAUGUCCUUCAACAGAUGAAUGGAUUAAAAAAAUGUGGCAUUUAUACACAAUGGAAUAUUAUUCAGCAGUAAAAAAUAACAAAAUCAUGGCAUUUGCAGGGAAAUGGAUGGCACUAGAGCAAAUUAUGCUAAGCGAAGUUAACCAAUCCCUAAAAAACAAAUGUCAAAUGUUCUCUGAUAUAAGGGAGGUGACUCAAAACAAAGUAGGAAGGAAGAGCAUGAGAAGAAGAUUACCAUGAAGUAAGGAAAAGAGGAGGGAGGGAAAAGGAGGGAGAAGGGAAAUGCACAGAAAAUGGAAGGAGACUCUCCUGGGUUCACAAAAUACAUAUACAAUGGUGUGAGGGGGAAGGGAAGGGAAAAAAAGAGAGAGAGAGAGAGAGAGAUAAGUAUCACAGUAGAAUGGGUAGACAAUAGGGAUGUGAGGGGAGGGGAGGGGAGAGGAGGAUAGGGAGGGCAGUAGAAUACAACUGACAUUAGGAUUGCUGUAUGUAUACACGUGAAUGUAUAACCAAUGUGAUCCUGCAAUCUGUACACGUGGAAAAAUGAGAAUUCAUAUCUUAUUUGAAUCAAAUGUAUGAUAUGUCAAGAUCAUUGUAUUGUCUUGAACAACUAAUAAAAAAUAAAAAUAAAAUAAAUAAAUAAAAAAAAUAAAAGGAGGCUGUACUCCUUGAACAAGCUUACAACAUGACGAUGACAAAUCAACUAAAUCGAGCAAAGUGCUCUUCUGCACACUUGAUGGUAACAAAAUACUUGAACUUUAUCUGGAAAAAUACACCAAAAUAUUAACAGAUGUAACUUAAGGCAGUUAGAUGGUAGGAGACUAUCACUUCUACAUUAGCUGUUUUUUAUUAUAUUCAAAACUUUUUAUAAAAAGCAUAAAAAUGAAGAAUUAUUACAAAACAUUUUAUACACAAAAUUCCAAAAAAAUACACUGAAGACUUGUGAUAUGAUAAGCAAAUGAGAAGUGGCUCUGGAUCCUCCCUCACGGCAGAGUUCUCUCCCCACCAAAACAAGCAUUGACUUUAAACUUGGGGCUGCUUUGCCUGGGUGUGGUGUCGUUUUGU